GACGAACGCUGGCGGCGUGCUUAACACAUGCAAGUCGAACGGAAAGGCCCUGCUUUUGCGGGCUGCUCGAGUGGCGAACGGUUGAGUACCACGGGAUAACCCUUCCCUUAACUUUGUAAUAACGGGAGGAAACUGGUGCUAAUACCGGAUAGUAGCGCCUGCUGUUUGUUGUUGGUUGGAAAGUUUCGGCAGUUGGGGAUGGACUCGCGGCUUAUCAGCCUGUCGGUGGGGUAGUGGCUUACUAAGGUUUGGGCGGGUAGCCGGACUGAGAGUGUGACCAGGCACAUUGGGACUGGGGUGCGGGCCAGACUCAUACGGCGGGAAGGGGUGGGAGAUAGUGCAAGAUGGGCCGAGGCCUGAAGCAGCAACGCCGGGUGGGGGAGCACGGUCUUCGGUUUAUAACGCGCUUUCGCCUGUAAAGAAGAGAGAGUGACGGUAAUGGGUAAAGAAGCACCGGCUAACUACGUG
rnacentral:rRNA from 1 species